rnacentral:rRNA from 1 species
GAUGAACGCUAGCUACAGGCUUAACACAUGCAAGUCGAGGGGAAACGACAUUGGAAGCUUGCUUCCUUUGGGCGUCGACCGGCGCACGGGUGAGUAACGCAUAUCCAACCUUCCCGCAAGUAAGGGAUAACCCGUAGAAAUGCGGCCUAAUACCUUAUGUUUUCCUUAGAGGGCAUCUGAUGAGGAACAAAGAUCCGUCGCUUGCGGAUGGGGAUGCGUCUGAUUAGUUAGUCGGCGGGGUAACGGCCCACCGAGACGACGAUCAGUAGGGGUUCUGAGAGGAAAGUCCCCCACAUUGGAACUGAGACACGGUCCAAACUCCUACGGGAGGCAGCAGUGAGGAAUAUUGGUCAAUGGGCGGAAGCCUGAACCAGCCAAGUAGCGUGCAGGACGACGGCCCUAUGGGUUGUAAACUGCUUUUAUGCGGGGAUAAAGUGGGCCACGUGUGGCCUUUUUGCAGGUACCGCAUGAAUAAGGACCCGGGCUAAAUUCCGUG